GAUAACAGAACUGAUCUGGUGCAGAAGUUGUUGGAGACCAGCUCAAGUUUCAAAAAGAAACGCUCAGAUGAACCACGCUCUGUCCUGUUGGAGAAAGCAGCAACAAUGGCAGCUGUUAAAGAGU